ensembl:snRNA U1 U1 spliceosomal RNA
AUACUUACCUGGCAAGGAAGAUACCAUGAUCAAGAAGGUGGUUUUCCCAGGACAAGGCUCCUCCAUUGUGCUCAAGAUGUGCCGACUCCUGUGAUUUUCCUAAAUGUGGCAAAGUUGACUCCGCAAUUUGUGGAAAGAGGAUUAUGUCUGCACUGUCCCCU